rnacentral:rRNA from 1 species
UAGGGAAUAUUGGACAAUGGGCGAAAGCCUGAUCCAGCAAUGCCGCGUGAAUGACGAAGGCCCUAUGGGUUGUAAAGUUCUUUUAUUAGGGAAGAUAAUGACGGUACCUAAUGAAUAAGCACCGACUAACUACGUGCCAGCAGUCGCGGUAAUACGUAGGGUGCAAGCGUUGCUCGGAUUUACUGGGCGUAAAGCACAUGUAGGUGGCUUAAUAAGUCGUAAGUGCAAUCCCUAGGCUCAACCUAGGAACUGCUUACGAUACUGUUAAGCUUGAGUAUGGUAGGGGAUAGUGGAAUUCCUAGUGUAGGGGUAAAAUCCGUAGAUAUUAGGAGGAACGCCAAAAGCGAAAGCAACUAUCUGGGCCAUUACUGACAUUGAGAUGUGACAGCGUGGGGAGCAA